GGACCCGUAGCGCAGCCAGGAUAGCGUACCGGCCUUCGGAGCCGGUGGUCGCGGGUUCAAAUCCCGCCGGGUCCG
rnacentral:tRNA from 1 species